UGGAAGGUUCCAGAAGGAUCCAUGGGGAUCUGGGAAGGUUCCGGAAAGUUCCAGUGGAAUCUAUGAUGGUUCUGGAAGGUUCCAGAAGGUUCCAUGGGGAUCUGGGAAGGUUCCGGAAGGUUCUGGAAGGUUCCAGAGAUCAUUCCGUACUUGCUGGCGAUGAGGGGGUUGUGCAGGGAUGGAUCUGGGAAGGUUCCGGAAAGUUCCAUGGGGAUCUGGGAGGGUUCCGGAAAGUUCCAGUGGGAUCUGGGAGGGUUCUGGAGGAUCUGGAAAGGUCCUGGAAGGUUCCGGAAGGUUCCAGGGAUGUCCAUCCCUACUUCCCAGCAAUGAGGGGGUUGUGGAGGACCACGAUGAUGGAGUCACUCUGGGAAGGUUCUGGAAGGUUCUGAGGGAUCUCGGAGGGUUCUGGAGGACCUGGGAAGGUUCCAGAAGGUUCUGGAAAUGUCCAUAUCUAUUUCCCAGCAAUGAGGGGGUUUUGGAGGACCACAAUGACCGAGUCGCUCUGGGAAGGUUCUGGAGGAUCUGGGAGGGUUCUGGAAGGUUCUGCAAUGGUUCUGGAAGGUUCUGCAAUGGUUCCAGAAGGUUCCAGAAGAUGUUUCCAUCAGGAAUUCCCUAUUUCCCAGCGAUGAGGGGGUUGCGGAGGACCACGAUGACCGAGUCGCUCUGGGGAGGUUCUGAGGGAUCUGGGAAGGUUCCAGAAGAUGUUUCCAUCAGGAAUUUUCUAUUUCCCGGCGAUGAGGGGGUUGCGGAGUACCACGAUGACCGAGUCGCUCUGGGGAGGUUCUGGAGGAUCUGGGAAGGUUCCGGAAGGUUCUGGAGAUGUCCAUCCCUACUUGCCGGCGAUGAGGGGGUUGCGGAGCACCACGAUGACCGAGUCCCCGCGCAGGAACA